UUUAAACAAAGCAAUUUUAGCCGAUUACGGUCACAAAUACAACUGGCUUUUGUGUGUGGAGAUAAUUGAUCCGCGUUUUAAUUUUGCAACAUUUUGUGAUUAUAUAAAGCGAUUUCCUUUCAAAAGCGAAUUAGUUUUACGCGAUAGUCGUCUUUGAAUCAAAUCAAUAGUUGUAUAAACUGAACUGGUUCGACGUUCUUAAGCAGCGAAAUCGAGAUAAACAACAUGGUACUGUCUGGUAAAGUCGCCAUAACGUUGUUGCUGUUAUUGUCGACUUUUGUGUUCACAAGCGAAGGAAACUGGUAUGGUAACCAAAUAACCGAAGAACAAUACGGUGAUGACAAUAAACGAGAUUACAUAUCUUCUGACGUGGUCAAAGACAAAGCUGACGAGAAUCUGGGCGACGACCUUUUAUUUCUGGAGGGCGAUAAAGAAACUUAAAACUGUACACUAAAAUAUAUCAUAUAUAUCUCAGCUUGAUUACCAUAACUAUGUUCAAUUUACAUUGUAUAAAUACAUUCUA